GAUCUAUCCUCCUUUCUGUUUGUAGCUGGAUCCUUAUCUGUGAUCUUAUGUCUCCAGGCCUGCUGUCACAGGCAACCAGCAAAGAAAGGACGUGUCUGUGUGAAGCAGACCAGUCUUCUGUGGCUGCAGUGCAGAGUCUGCUGACGGUGUCUCGGUUUAGCGGCGGCGUCAUGCGCGUGUAGCGUCGGACAGCCGAGGUAAACAAAAUGUUUGUUUAUUGUUAUCGUUCUUUUGCUUGAUUGUGGUUAAACAUUUCUUUGUUUCAUUACAGUGUUGCCUCUGUUGCCUUGUCUUUUUGCUUGUUUAUUUUGUUGUUUCUUUCUUUUUGUUUGUAGUUGUUUUGCCUAGUUCUGUAUCAGUUUGCUUGGUUCGAGUUUA
ensembl:lncRNA